UUUGACCACUUGCCAUUUGCCGGU
rnacentral:siRNA from 1 species